GCUCCCUUCCCCACACCCCAGGCGGCGCUGUACUCAGCCUCUGCUCUAGGUGUCUCCAGCCCCGCGCUGGGACUUCAGACCUGCGGCCAAGAGACCUGAAUCCGCAGCCACUGUCGGAGGGCCGGUGGAGUAACUUACGUAGAGCGUGGAGUCAUGUAACUGGAAGGGGCAGGAAUUCAGUGUGGGCAGCCUUGCUCCAAGGGGCCAGCAGCUGCGGUGAAGUGCCUCUCUCUGCCUUACACCUCCCUGGGAGGGCCAUCUGAUGGAAACACGUGGCAGACGAGGGAGGCUUCCUGCUUCUGCACACAGCCCAGGGACCAUGAUGGCAGAGCCACGACGGACUGGUUUGGCUUCGAAAGAAGUGAGAACUCACUCAGAGUUACAGUCAAACUUGGCCAGUAGAAGACCUCCUAGCAUCUGGGGGUCGUGCGUGCGUGUGUGUGUGUGUGUGUGUGUGUGUGUGUGUGUGUGUGUUAGGGGGAUCAUUUGUGAUACCCAUGGUUGGGCCUUCUCUUCACUAGCAGUUCUAUCACUAAAGAGAA